rnacentral:rRNA from 1 species
UUAGAUGACGAAGUGGUUGAUGCCAUGCUUCCAAGAAAAGCUUCUAAGCUUCAGGUAACCAGGAACCGUACCCCAAACCGACACAGGUGGUCGGGUAGAGAAUACCAAGGCGCUUGAGAGAACUCGGGUGAAGGAACUAGGCAAAAUGGCACCGUAACUUCGGGUGAAGGUGCGCCGGCUAGGGUGAAGGAUUUACUCCGUAAGCUCUGGCUGGUCGAAGAUACCAGGCCGCUGCGACUGUUUAUUAAAAACACAGCACUCUGCAAACACGAAAGUGGACGUAUAGGGUGUGACGCCUCCCCGGUGCCGGAAGGUUAAUUGAUGGGGUUAGCGCAAGCGAAGCUCUUGAUCGAAGCCCCGGUAAACGGCGGCCGUAACUAUAACGGUCCUAAGGUAGCGAAAUUCCUUGUCGGGUAAGUUCCGACCUGCACGAAUGGCGUAACGGUGGCGGCGCUGUCUCCACCCGAGACUCAGUGAAAUUGAAAUCGCUGUGAAGAUGCAGUGUAUCCGCGGCUAGACGGAAAGACCCCGUGAACCUUUACUGUAGCUUUGCACUGGACUUUGAGCCUGCUUGUGUAGGAUAGGUGGGAGGCUUUGAAGCGUGGACGCCAGUUCGCGUGGAGCCAUCCUUGAAAUACCACCCUGGCAUGCUUGAGGUUCUAACUCUGGUCCGUAAUCCGGAUCGAGGACAGUGUAUGGUGGGCAGUUUGACUGGGGCGGUCUCCUCCUAAAGAGUAACGGAGGAGUACGAAGGUGCGCUCAGACCGGUCGGAAAUCGGUCGCAGAGUAUAAAGGCAAAAGCGCGCUUGACUGCGAGACAGACACGUCGAGCAGGUACGAAAGUAGGUCUUAGUGAUCCGGUGGUUCUGUAUGGAAGGGCCAUCGCUCAACGGAUAAAAGGUACUCCGGGGAUAACAGGCUGAUACCGCCCAAGAGUUCAUAUCGACGGCGGUGUUCGGCACCUCGAUGUCGGCUCAUCACAUCCUGGGGCUGAAGCCGGUCCCAAGGGUAUGGCUGUUCGCCAUUUAAAGUGGUACGCGAGCUGGGUUUAGAACGUCGUGAGACAGUUCGGUCCCUAUCUGCCGUGGACGUUUGAGAUUUGAGAGGGGCUGCUCCUAGUACGAGAGGACCGGCGUGGACGAACCUCUGGUGUUCCGGUUGUCACGCCAGUGGCAUUGCCGGGUAGCUAUGUUCGGAAAAGAUAACCGCUGAAAGCAUCUAAGCGGGAAACUUGCCUCAAGAUGAGAUCUCACUGGGAACUUGAUUCCCCUGAAGGGCCGUCGAAGACUACGACGUUGAUAGGCUGGGUGUGUAAGCGUUGUGAGGCGUUGAGCUAACCAGUACUAAUUGCCCGUGAGGCUUGACC